rnacentral:rRNA from 1 species
CCCUUAGAUGUCCUGGGCCGCACGCGCGUUACACUGAUGCAUUCAACGAGCUUAUAACCUUGGCCGAGAGGCCUGGGCAAUCUUGUUAACGUGCAUCGUGAUAGGGAUAGAUUAUUGAAAUUAUUAAUCUUGAACGAGGAAUUCCUAGUAAACGCAGAUCAUCAAUCUGCAUUGAUUACGUCCCUGCCCUUUGUACACACCGCUCGUCGCACCUACCGAUUGGAUGGUCCGGUGAAGCCUCGGGAUUGUGGUUCUUGCCGCUUUAUUGUGGCGUGACCGCGAGAACUUGUCUAAACCUUAUCAUCUAGAGGAAGGUGAAGUCGUAACA